AGAGGGAGGAGAGAACUGCCGGG
rnacentral:piRNA from 1 species